rnacentral:pre_miRNA from 1 species
AGUGGGAUAGCUGGGUCAAAUGGUGGUUCCAUUCCAAGUUUUCUAAGGAAUUACCAUAUUGCUUUCCAUAUUGGUUGCACCAGUUUGCAAUUCCACUAGCAAU